rnacentral:rRNA from 1 species
UAGCCUACGGGAGGCAGCAGUAGGGAAUCUUCCACAAUGGGCGAAAGCCUGAUGGAGCAACGCCGCGUGGGUGAAGAAGGUCUUCGGAUCGUAAAACCCUGUUGUUAGAGAAGAAAGUGCGUGAGAGUAACUGUUCACGUUUCGACGGUAUCUAACCAGAAAGCCACGGCUAACUACGUGCCAGCAGCCGCAGUAAUACGUAGGUGGCAAGCGUUAUCCGGAUUUAUUGGUCGUAAAGGGAACGCAGGCGUUCUUUUAAGUCUGAUGUGAAAGCCUUCGGCUUAACCGUCGUAUUGCAUU